GCAACUAUCUAGUAAUGCUUUUCCCCAGGAGCUGACAUUCAAUGUCUGAAGCUGAGAAGGAGAUCAGAAACUAAUUUUUCUUACCAGAACAGCCACGCACCUUGAAAGAAUGGAUUUUUACUAAUUUGUGUGUAUGUGAUUACAAAGUCAGAAAUGGAUGAAGAAGAUAUCUUCUGAUCACCAGUAACAAACCAGUGCUUCAGAGAUGUACUCCUAUGUGCCAGUUAUGCUCCUCAGAAGACCUCCACCCCUCACAAUGUCUUCCCUUAUGUUGGUCCAUUUUGUGAAAAGAUCAAUGAGGGCAUUUUCUGUGCCAGCGAUAGUAUUAUGGAACAGCCUACUGGAAUGGGUGCAGAAGAAAAUGAGAAUUCCAAAACCCCAGAAAGCAAAUCAAAAAUGCAAGAGCAAACUGAAGCAAAGCCCCUGGAAAGUACUGGUCACACAGUAGCAUUUCUACAUCCCAGCCAGAAAUCCCAAGAGGAGGGUCUGCUUUGGAAACACAAAAAUCUGUAAUGGGAACAGGAAACAGCACCAAAACGAAACGAAACAUGGGCAAGCUUUGUGGGUUACUUCCACACAGAGAUUUUGUGCCAGUUUUGCAUCCAAACUGGAGGACGGGUUUUGUUUGUUUGUUUGGAGUAUCCGCAUGGCAUUGUCCCCCACCAUACUUUCUAGAUUUUCCCCUGCUUCGAUGUGAUCUUUCCUAGCCCUGACAUAGCAAUCGUUUUGUAAAUAUGGAAGUCCAUGUGGAUGGAACGGUGUGUGUGGUGUUUUUUUUUGAGGGUCCCACAUGUAGAGAUGUCAUUUUCCUUUUCUCAGAAAACACACAUACCCCAUGACUCCCAUUUCUGUGCCACUAGAGAACUUCUUUCAGGCUUUUGUAAAAAUUGGCAAUUGCUUGAUUAUUACAAUGCAGUAAGAUUUCACUCAUCUAUUGCCACAAUCUACAAUGUUUUCCAAAUGAAACAUAUGCUGCUUUUUCUCUAAUAGAUUACAUUACCAUUCAUUAUAGCAUCAGUUUGCAGUGCCUAUCAGAGUGCAUGGCACAGAAUAAUGUUAAAGGGAUGUCUGUAUCCUGAGGGUAUUGCAAUCCAAAUGAUUUCCAUCCAGCUGAUAAAAUGAACCUGAUGUAACCGUUUCCUAUGUGCUAUAGAGGAUAGUAUCUGCACAUAGUGCAAAAAUUUAUUACACAUGUGCUAGGUUCACAGAAAGCCUGGGAGCACCAGAAUUUGAAAGAUGCUUUUCUAGCUCAUUGAUAUAUGGCUGAUCUAGGUGGGUUUUUUUAUAAUUCCUCCUGAAAACAACUUUUGUUUCCACUUAAUAACCUACCCUGCCAUGUCCACAAGAUGGGACUGAAAACAUAAAAUGGGUUGGGCCCUUGAGAACAGCUGCAUAACAGGAAGUACCCUUAAUGUGACGUCAUCAACAAAGGGGGGGGUCUGUCUUCAUAAAUACAGAUUGUGCAAGGAGUCUAGCUGCAAUCCACAUUAGAUCUUUACAAAAACCCAGCUUUGUCUCCCAUUCUCCUAAUACCAGAUGAAAUAAACUCAGCUCCACUGAAA